UACGUAGGCAGCGAGCGUUGUUCGGAAUUACUGGGCGUAAAGAGUGUGUAGGCGGUGCUCCCAGUCUGUUGUGAAAUCUCCCGGCUUAACUGGGAGGGUGCAGCGGAAACUAGAGUGCUAGAGGGUGGGAGAGGUAAGCGGAAUUCCUGGUGUAGCGGUGAAAUGCGUAGAUAUCAGGAGGAACACCUGUGGUGUAGACAGCUUACUGGACCACUUCUGACGCUGAGGCACGAAAGCUAGGGUAGCGAACGGG
rnacentral:rRNA from 1 species